rnacentral:rRNA from 1 species
UACAGGGGGGGCAAGCGUUGUUCGGAAUUACUGGGCGUAAAGGGCUCGUAGGUGGCCAACUAAGUCAGACGUGAAAUCCCUCAGCUUAACUGGGGAACUGCGUCUGAUACUGGAUGGCUUGAGUUUGGGAGAGGGAUGCGGAAUUCCAGGUGUAGCGGUGAAAUGCGCAGAUAUCAGGAGGAACACCGGUGGCGAAGGCGGGUCUCUGGGCCGAUACUGACGCUGAGGAGCGAAAGCGUGGGGAGCGAACAGG